rnacentral:rRNA from 1 species
GGCUUGUCUCAAAGAUUAAGCCAUGCAUGUCUAAGCAUGAGCCGAACUAUGGUGAAGCCGCGAAUGGCUCAUUACAACAGCCGUUGUUUCUUGGAUCUUGAUUUACUUGGAUAACUGUGGUAAUUCUAGAGCUAAUACAUGCAACCAAGCUCCGACCUCACGGAAGGAGCGCAUUUAUUAGACCAAGACCAAUCAGGCUUUGCCUGGAAUCUGGUGACUCUGAAUAACUUUGCUGAUCACAUGGUCCUAGUACCGGUGACAUAUCUUUCAAGUGUCUGCCCUAUCAACUUUCGAUGGUAGUUUAUGUGCCUACCAUGGUUGUAACGGGUAACGGAGAAUAAGGGUUCGACUCCGGAGAGGGAGCCUGAGAAAUG